ensembl:lncRNA
GUCUUUUUCCAUAUAUUAUUCAAUUGCCUGUUCCGGGUGCCGUAUUCUCCUUCCUGCAGGAUAUGAACCUGGCUGCCAGCAUUCUUGGAACUAAGCAGGGGAAGGGGUGAGGAGGCCUCCCCAUUCAGCAUGCAGGCUUUUAUAUCAUCCUUGUCUUCAAUCCACCUCAUCAUCUCACCUUCUGCUCAGCCUACUGCCCCUUCAGACACCUCUCACCUGUUAAUAUGCCUCUAGAAUACACACUCUACAUUUGAUCUUAGCCCAAAGGCCAAGAAGUGAUUGAAGAAUACAUACUUUAAAUAUGCUCAAAUGAAACAAUUAUAAAAAAGAAAAGAUUUUCUGGCAAUAGUUUAUUAAGUAACUCUUGGGUGACAGAACUGAUUGCUUAUUAAGUGAGACCAGGACAGAUGUUUGGGGCAGGGCGAUAGCAUUUUAACCUUUUGUGCAGGAAGCCAAUAAGACAAUAUGCUCUCCUUUGGGCAGUCGCUUGCUGCCACUGCCAGAGACAAUACCAGGUAGGAUGUGGCAAUUCAGAUGUUCUCACACCCGGACACCAGGUGUUUCCAGAAAGUCUCCAGACAGAGAUUAUCAUGAGGAUUGCGAGUAUCUGGGGGUCAACCUACAGGCAGCAUUCCUUGGGUACUCCCAGCAAGAGCCAUUCUUUGUGGAGGCGGUGGAGCUUCUGCCAUUUAAACAGUGGCUACCUUUUGGAGAAAAAUGGGAUUUUCUCCAAGGAUGAGUUAUACUGCAAGAUUCUGGACUAGUAUGUGAAUGUGGAACUGCAGCUGGCAGGCUCCAAGGCAGUAGGAGGGCACCUGGAUGUGACAGCUGCUGGCCAAUCCCUGCCCAGUACUGUGGCUCAGUCUGUGCAGCAGGCUGUCGGUUUGGAGUUUUGGUGACAUUUAUGAGCUGAUACUUAGAAAAGUCAGAGAAUGCCGUGAAAGAUGCCUAAGAGGCUGGAGAUGACCCAGCCUAAACUGCUGGACUGCCGUUGCCCAAUCACAGUGCCUGGUGUAUUUUCUGGGACCAUUUUUUGAUGUUUGAGCUGAGACAUUAAAGGCAGUUAAUACGUGGCUAAGAAUGCAUAUUUGGAGGCUUGCUUGGGACCAAAUUCUAGGUCAACUACUUGUUACUUGGGCAAGUUGCUCAAGUGUUCUCGUGGAGAUUUCCUUACAUGUAUGGUGAGGUAAUAAUGAUGCUGUGAGACUUAAAGGCAUUCAUGUCAUUCAAAGUAACACAAAAUAUCACUUAUCGCUCAGCAUGCAGGAGGCACUUAACAAGCAUUCACUUUUUAUUAAUUUUAUUAUUUAGAGAAAAAUCUCAGCUAGAAAUUGCAUUGGACUGCUAGUGAAAGACUGUAAAUAACUGUGGCUUAAACAAAAUAGGAGUUUUAUUGUAUUAUUAUUUUUCUGUUUUAUAAAAGAAGUCCAGAGGUGUGAAGCCCAAAAUUGGCAUGAGGGACCCAUAUGGGUUAUUCUGUCCACCUGCUCUGCCAUCCGCAGUGUAUGGCUUCCAUUUCUAGGUUGCUCAUGGUCUAACACAGCUACUGAAAGUCCAGCCAUCAUGUGUGUGUUCAGGCAGGAAGCAGGAGGAAGUGGUGAAGAACAAGAUGAGAGGAACAAUUUCCAGCUAACCUGUCCCCCUUGAAAGAGUUUUUCUGUGUACUGUCCCCCGAAAUCUUCUACUCACAUUUCCUUAGCUAAAUAAUGUCAUGUGACCAUAUAGUUUUAAAGAAUGCUCAAAAAUGUAGUUAAUCCAAUAAAAUUGGAGUUGUUUUUAUUCA